rnacentral:lncRNA from 1 species
AGGGACAGACAGGCCAGAGUGGAACCGUCAGGCCCGAAAGAAAGCCCAGCACAAAGCCACGGUGUCUGCUCUGCCCUUAGGGACUCAGGGGUCAGUGACAGGGGGCUAGGAGGAGGAGGAGGAGGAGGAGGAGGAGGAGGAGGAGGAGGAGGGGCAGAGGAGCGGAAGUUCCCGCUCCGAGGCCCCACUCCCCGCCACCCCCAGCCGGCCCGGGGGCAGGUGAAGAGAGACCGGGCUCUGCUCCAGGUGGCGGGGCAGAGACGGGGGUGGGGAAAGGCCCGGCAACAAUGGCACUUUUAUUUGGGACUGUUGGGUUCAGAGAGGGUGGGCGGAGGAGGAGGAGGACGCCGACCGGGCCGCGGGGGAGGGGAGCGGCCACAGCAUCUGGCUACACACCUGCUCCUGCUUAACCCUGUGCGUGCUGAGCUCUGGGUUGGCGGGGGCGGGCUAACCCGCAGCAGAGGCUGGGGGACACCUCCCUUGGGCCCUUGGCCAGGCUUGGCCAUCUCCAGGAGCAGGAGAAAAGGGGGAUCCCAAGAAAGACAGAACUCCCGAUGCGCUCGAAUGUGCCUUUGCCCACCCCCACACCCCCACCCCCCCCCCCCGUGGGACACAGCAGGCUGGAGAGCAAAUCGGGGUGGGGAGGCGACGACUACCUGCCGGCCUACGGUCAUUCCGGGAAGCCGGCUUUCCGGAGGCCUUGCGGCGGCCAGGGUCCUCCCAGGCGACACGGCCGGUCGCGCGGCUCGCUUCCAGGCUCGGCGCUGCAGGGUUAAAACGUUUGGAAGGCUCCCCUACACCAACACACACACACACCACCGCCACCAUCCUCCGCGGAGGCUGCAACUAGAGAAGCAAAGUUAGAAGGACCUUGGUCAAACUGGUCUCGAUCCUGGGAUUUUCUGGGCAAUUGGAGGCCACAAUUUAGAUAGUUUCCGGAAUCGAUGUCCCUUAAAGACCAGCGCCUGGACUCUACUGAGUAAAUUCCCAUUUCAACUUCCUCCUCUUCCUCUAUUUGAACAACG